CUAACGAGGGGAAAUACCUAAUGAGCCACAACUAGCAUUGGACUAGUGUGGUGACGUACAUUCAUCCAUCACAUUCAUUCAUGCUAUAGAAAGCGAGUAGACAUGCCAAACACGUAUAAACACAUAGCACAUAACAUUUAGCAUGCUCGACUAGAUGCGAGGCCCUAUCAAAGCAAUUAAACAUGUAGCAACAAAAACAAGCAAACAAGGGGAAGGGGAAAAUGGACCAGAUGCUCUCCGAGCCCUAUCUAUU
rnacentral:lncRNA from 1 species